UCUGGAAUUUGGUUCAAAGUAUUUCCAUGUUUCCCUGGCCUGUUCUUAAAAGUGCUGCUAUAGAAAGUGGGGAGGGGCAGGAACUCACUGCAGGAUCAGUAGCUGAGUCCCUUAGAUAUUUGUAGCUCAUCGGAAGGAGGACAGGGAUUGGUGGGGAUGAAAUCUGGGGACUU